ensembl:lncRNA
GCCGGGUGUGUGGGAGCAGUGGGAAGCAGCGGAGUGGGUGUCAGGGUCCUGCCUGGCAGUGGGACAGCCCAGUCCUUGUGUCCAACAGCACUGUCAGCAACUCACCUGGUGUUUACCUGUCCUCACCUGCUCCUUCUUGCCUGCUCGAGGGGCGGGGGGAUGCUACAGACGUGUGGUAACUGCAGAAAGACAGAGGACUCCUGCUGUGUGCUCACACAGUUCCAGCGUUUGGGCGUGCACAGGAGGGAUUACGGAUUGGUAAUGAAAAUGUCAGUGCUGGCCACACCCCCUGCAGGUACAGACCAGCCCCUGCAGGACCUGGCCCAUUUCUCUUCCAGGAAAAUUGACACUUAGCCGACUCUGGUGACCUGAAAUGUGUUUUGCAGGAGUGCUCGGAGAAGCGGAUGCAAGGGAGCAUGUUCCCCACUUCUCCCUUCAUCUACUACUACGAUGAUGAAUGCGAUAUCAAGAGGAGAGCAAAUAGGUUAAAAAGAAAGGUGGCAGACCUGCAGGAAGCUGGCCUUCUGCCGGAACAGCCCAAAACACCAUGGCAGGAAGAACAGCUCAAGGGGCACAGCCACAAGAAAAAGAGCAAACCUUGGAAAGGACAACACGGGAAACUGAACAGGAAUGGUGAGCAGUACAAGAAGAUGAAGGUGUCCCAGGCAGGGAAAUCCCGAGAGAAGAUGAACAGGAGGGGUGUUGAACUCCGCUGUGACCCAGAGGGAGACUUCCCUCGGGGGUGCAAGCAGCAGGUGUGCAAGGGCGGCAAGGUUCGGCACAAGUCCGUUUUUCAGGCGUUCUCAGGCAGAAACGCUGGGUGUGUGCAGGAGCCUCUGGAAGGUGUCAAAAGGAAGAAGAAAUGGAAAAAGCAGAAAGAUGCUAGUCCUGACAGCAAGGACAAUCUAUUCCUCAUAAAACAGAAGAGGAAGAAGUCCAAACAGAAAUCCUGGUAACAGGGGGAUGGGCAGGUAGCACUGGUAUUUGCUGGCUCUGGCUCUGCCUUCUCUUUAUUUCUGUCUCUCUCUUAGCACAUGAAUUUGAGCCCGUCCUUGAGCCAGCAUGCCAGACACAUACUCAGACCACUCUGUCUCUGAGAACUGUUGCUGUGGCCGGUGGGUCCCAGUGCUCCCACGUGGGGUGGUUCCAGAAUAGGCUGUAUGUUUAUUUUCUUUGCUUGGGGAUUGUGGGGGGCAUGCUGGAUUUGGCAGGGUCUGUUUCUUCACUGGUGAGAUGUGGUUCUGCUGUCAGAGCAGGAUCUGCUGCCAUCGAACACGGCGCCUUCGGAGCCGGCACCAGGGAGACUUGCAUGAGGAGAGGUCAGGAUGGAGAGCAGGAAGGUGGGGGGUAAAGCACAUCCCCCCAGCCAUCAUUCCUCUCCAGAGCGCAGAGGGGAACUUGGCACUUUCCCUCCUUCCUGGAAGGGGCAGCCAAGUCGCUGCUUUGCACUCUGGGAUGCAGCAGUUUCCUGCCUCACGCUCCCGUGUGGCACCACAAAUCCACUGCCCUCGGUGCUUGGCUCUCAGGGCUCCCCCGAGCCCCAUCCCUGCCCCUGCCAGCUGGGCAGAGUGAGCAGCUGGGCAUGGAACAGAGUUUACAUCUCACACUAAAUCCGUCCUUGUUCCCCUUGAUGUGGAAGCUGUUUCUGGAGAAAAGAGAGCAGAGUAUGAAGAACAUACUUGAUUCCAAUCAUACUGUGCUAAAAUUUAAUAAUUUUUUUCAAAUACAGUUAUUUUUGUACACUGGAAUUCAGCGUGUUGUGUUAAGGUUUGUAAGAAUGAAAUGCUUCAUCAAAGGACUAAGCCAAAUAAAACUUUACAUGAGGAAUAUGAAAAAAAGUGG